AGAGCGAACGCUGGCGGCAGGCCUAACACAUGCAAGUCGAGCGCCCGUAGCAAUACGGGAGCGGCAGACGGGAGAGUAACACGUGGGAACGCGCCCUUCGGUUCGGAAUAACUCAGGGAAACUUGAGCUAAUACCGGAUACGCCCUUACGGGGAAAGAUUUAUUGCCGAAGGAACGGCCCGCGUCCGAUUAGCUAGUUGGUGAGGUAACGGCUCACCAAGGCGACGAUCGGUAGCUGGUCUGAGAGGAUGACCAGCCUCACUGGGACUGAGACACGGCCCAGACUCCUACGGGAGGCAGCAGUGGGGAAUAUUGGACAAUGGGCGCAAGCCUGAUCCAGCCAUGCCGCGUGAGUGAUGAAGGCCUUAGGGUUGUAAAGCUCUUUUGUGCGGGAAGAUAAUGACGGUACCGCAAGAAUAAGCCCGGCUAACUUCGUGCCAGCAGCCGC
rnacentral:rRNA from 1 species